GACAGACUUGUCAAGGUUAUAUUCCAGGCCAAAGUGAACGCAAGGCGCAACCUGGAUUCCACUGGUAUAUAAAGGGGAGAGGUUGCCUCAGGCAGCGCCUUAGCAUGCUAGCAUUGCACUUUGAGUCGUCUUGGGGUCUGGAAUCCAUCGCCCACCAAGAAAAAUCCAGCUGCAAGUGCUGGAGAGAGAAGUAGGAAGACAAAAUUCUGUUACAAUGGGGGCCGGCUGUUUUAAUUGUUUUGCUUUUUAU